UCACUCGUCGUGUAGGUUAAGGCGGCGGCUUUUCAGUUAGAUUAGGGCAUCGCCGCAACGAUCAAUGAUAAUCGUGUGUGUAUGUAUCUAUUUGAGUGUAAAGUGCUGAAUCGUUUCGUGAUGCUAUCUGUUUCGAAGUCCAAAAACAGUAAACAAUGAAGAAGACGCUCCAGAAAAACAAAACAAUGAUCUGCCUGAUUGGGUUGGCAAGGGAAAACAGUAGUUCUACUAAACCCGCCUCAAAGUGGACAACGAGAAAUGCCAACAUUCUCAUUGCAGAAUUCCCACUUUGCUUGAUAUUUGUCAGACAACAAAAAUUAUUUGUUACAUUGGUCAUGCAGCUGAUAUGAGGCAAAAGAACCCAAAGGCUGGCAACCCAUUUAAUGAAAUUGCACCUAUUAAAUGGGAGAUAAUUUGUGACCACUGCGAGGGAUUCCUUGUGACUCGGCCAAAUGUGUGCGAGAGAACAUCAGAAGAGCACACAAUUGCUGAAGGUAGAUCUACUUCUUACUUAAUUCAUUAACAUAUAAAUGAUUUCUCUAUAAUUAUGCAUUGACCCAAAUAUAUUAGUUUAACCUGUAGUUCUUGCGUCUUUUUUCCCAUACCUGUAUAUCAUUUUAUUUCUAAAAAGACAUGAUAAGAUUGUUGUUAGGAAUUAAUCAUCAUAUUGGUUUUUGUUGUCCAUCAUUGAUUAAAUAUUAAAAAUGUGAGAAUUUAACUUUAAAGGUGUUUUCUCUUAGCUUUUAAUCUGAAAACACUUGCAAUACCACUUGUACAAAAGAUAACCAAGAAGGUAAUGAAAAUUAAACUGGCUUCUACAAAGAGAAAGAUAAAAGGAACGAAGCAGCACAUCGUGGAACUUUUGAAAUCGCAAGAACCGAGUGAAAAGUGAUAACCUUCUUCCAUGCAGUUCUGCAUAUGUAUUCUUUACAAUAUUGUCUUAUACUUAUUCCCAUGUAAAAUCAGGGCUCAAAAGACUUAAAAUCGAUGAUGUUCAGCACAUGCAAGUUACUUGAAGUAGUUUUUAUAUUUGUCUAUUCAUUUAUUGAGCUAAACGAUGUAUAUAAUACGUGUUGGUUAACCCAAGAUCGAGUCUGUACUUUGGAAUGAUUUUUCUUAGUUUACCAGUUUUCUGUAGGAUUUGCUUAGGUGCCAAAGUUAAUGUUUUCGUGAAGUUAUUGGUGGAAGAACAGAGAACAUAGUAUUGAUUAAUGUACAAGAAAUUUAUAAAUAUAUUAAUUUAGAAACUGUGAAUUGAUAAAUAUAUUAAUUUAGAAAAAUUAGGGAAUUAAUAUAAAAAUAUUAAAUUUUGGUAUGUAUGUAGAAGAAUCAAACAUUUUUAUCCGCACCACUGAAUUGGCGAGAACAAUCUACUUCUAUAUAUAAUAAGCCAACCACGGGAAAAAUAUGCCUAAAUAAUACUUGUGAAAUGACAAGUAUACCCCAGUUAUUUUUUAAUUACAUUUCUGCUAAGACCUAUUAAAGGAGCUUAACGCUUCCACUUUUGUCUGAAAGAAACUGAUACACACCGAUGAUGUUCUUUUCAUCCUCGUCCCAAUACACGGUCCCAAUUAUGCGAUCACAGGCCGGGCAUCUUCGUCGUGCUGUAGGGGUAAUUUAUAGCAAAAAAUGUAGGAAUUAUAUGCGAAGAACAUUUGAGGUGUUUGACAGGGAUAGAAGUAGAAGUAUAUUAGAGGUGGGAAGGGUUUUAUGUGUUUUUUUACGGUAAUGUAAUCAGCUUAUGUUAAUUGUUAUUGUGGAAAUGUGAUAUAUAUAUGUUAUUUUGUGUAUUCUGUUUACUGUGUUCUGUUCCUAGCCAUAAUUUUUUGGUCGUUAAUUAGUUGUUGAAGUAUAUAAUUUUGCUCUUAUUUUAGUUAUUUGGAAUGGUGCAUUCUGGAGAUUCUAAGUUGUUGGCAAGUAAUUUGUUAUUAUGACUUAUAGUGCAAGGGAUGAUUUAGUUAAAAGUACUCCAAUGAUAAAGUUGCAACUAUAUCCGUGCUUGUGCCAGUUUAUCUGAAGUAGUCUGAUAUGUACGGAAUUGGAUUCACUGUAUAUGAUUCACUUCCUAUAUAUGAACUAUCCCACACUCUUGGUGUAGAAGGCAUCGGCAUUGUUAUUAUUAUUAGGAGUCGUAAACAGGGAUUGCAUUCAUCAUAUAUUAUACCCUAAAUUGAUAGAGCUGGGUGGAGUUUUGAAAGAAGGUGAGUCCUUAAAUAGUGAUAUAAUAUGCGGUGCUUUACUUUCUGAGUUUCAUAAUCUUGUCAGGUAAUAUUAUUCUUUAAGAAGCACCGUGAUUAGGAAAGAACGUAAGAUGUCAAAUAUGCCUCAGGUUCUUACGGGAAACACCUACAGACUACAGUUCUUGGAUUAAUCAACUUGAUAGGAUAUUAUACAAUUCAAGAAGAAGAUGGAUGUCUAAAAAUAAAUUAGCUCAUAAGUCAAACAAUGUGGAAAUGAGGAAUGUUACAAUUUAUUUCAUGCGCCAUAAUCAAAACUAAUCUAAUGUCCAUAUUUGAUGUAAAUAUUUUUUUACAGGCGAAAUUAAAGCAUUGGAAGCAGCUAUGAAUGACAUUAAUAACUCAUUUGGAAAAGGAGCUGUAACAAGAUUAAACGUUUAGAAUCUAAACUAUUAUUUGGUAUAAGAAUUGAAUUUUUUUAUUCAGUGUAGAUAUUAUUUUUUUGCAUCUCAAUAUACGUGUUAAAAAGUCAAAGUCGGUUAAAAUGUAACCGGGACAGAGGGAAUAUUAAACUUUCUGUCGUAGUAUAUUGUAUAGUUUGGUUGAAAGUUAUUAGUUUGUGAUAUAUCUUUACUUCUUUUUAAAGGUAUGUUUUCGUACACACUUUGAGGUAUUGUAAAACAAACUCAGUACAAUCUUUUUCACGUGAAGAUUAUCUUGUUUAAUAUCCAGGAUACGUAUGGCUCUGAGAUGGUGAAGUAAACAAUGAAGAUGAUGCUCCAAAAAGAUGGAAAACAGUAACUAAGGCUGGCUAAUCUGCUACUUAUCUGCUAUUAAGAAGCUGCUGCUUGUCUACUUGGUUAUUUCGUUGAAGAUAAAGCAACGCGACAUAUCGGGAACUUUUGAAAUUGCAAGAACUAAGUUAAAAGCUGGCAAUGUAGAUGAUUUUUUUCCAAGUAGUUGAACCUACCAAUGUAUUCCUUACCAUAUUGUCUUAUUCUUAUUUCUAUGUAACAUCAAUGCUCAAAAGACUUAAAAUCUAAGUUACUCAAGUAGUUUUUAUAUUUGUCUGUUUAUUUAUUUACCUAUAUAAUGUAUAUAAUACGUUUGUGUGAUGACAGAGGAUCGAUUCAGCACUUUGUAAAAAAAAUUCAUAGUUUACAUGCUACUCACUUGACGUAUAUGUAAUUAAUAUUAUUUUUAAAGUUUUAUACUAAAGAAUGUCAAAUCUUAUAUCUAUAUAAAGCAAAAUCUCGGGCGUCUUACGUGGCGCUCUUUACGCUCUUGAAUCAAAAUCCCUGCUCUCUGCACUUUUGGCUAUUUCUUUUAUAUUUUCUCUCAGCUUGCCUAGCGGUUAUGUUCAGCCUGGGACUUGGACAGGCACUUCAGUUACCCGCUCCGUAACUGAGGUCUCUGUGCCUCCUCAGAGAUUUACUUAUAAAUGGCCUUCUCUGGACAAUCUUUUCACACCGGGGAAAGCCGAUCGGCAUGAAUAUGACGGAUUCAGCUAGAGGGUCAAAGCGGGUAUGUAUGUUAUUCUUGCUGAUUUUCAGGGUUGAUUUAUGUUAUAUGAUCAUAGUCGUGGGCAGUUAUCUCCUUCUGAUUUAUCCGGAGAGCAUAGCAGCAGAUUUUUAUGAUAAAGUCUUAGAUUUGACAGAGGCAAGGAAAGGUGAGGAAAAUCCAGGCAUCCAGCUGUAUGCUCAAAAACAAACCUCCAGCGCAAGUGGAGACUGUUCUAAGUGACUGCUCCUCAGCAGCAGUUCACCAACCUAAGCGCAAGAGCCAUCGUUACAUUCCACAGGGAGAUCUUGUAUGGGCAAUCAGUUCAGACACGAUUCAUUCUCUCGUGGGACUCUCUGAACUUUUCUUUGUACUUCCGCUUAUGAAUUCAGUUCUAGGCCUGUGAGCUUUCAAGGAUGUUCUUGCAUUGGCGUCACUCGACAGGGCCAACAAUUGAGCUGUUGAGAAACAAAAAAAUAAAAGAGGCCUUCGAAGAUGGUUUUAGGAGUUGCGUAAAGAUUUUUAUGGCCAUUGAUCCGAAAUAUAUUGGGCAGACAAAUUUGGCGAAGGGGUGGCCAAAUGGAUGAAAGAAUUUUCUGUUAUGGAGGCCGUUGUAUUACUGAGAGAAAUGCUCUGUGAAAGCGAGAGAUAGAGCACACCUUCAAAAUCCAAAUACAAAAGAUGAUGUUUGCUCAGAGAAAACAGAGGAUGUACUUCAACUACUUUAACUUAAAAAUUUAUGAAAUGUUUUGGGACUUCUUUUAGUGUGAGCAGCCUUUGAGGCUUUGCAAAUUGUAGGAUAAUGGUGGACAAAAAUUGUCUUGUCUUGAUUAAGAUAUUGUAUAAGCUGCUAUUCAUUUGGUUCUCAACUUUUAGACAAAUGUGUUAUCUUUAAUGUAAAAGUUUAAAUUUGCAAUUUUAAAGUUUUUUAUUUUUUUUCA